GUUUGGCAUACAAGCUGCCCUCUGCAGUGGGCUGGCCGGUGGGCAGGGUGGUGCUUGCGCGAACCUGCUUUUAAUCAAAUCCAGGCUUGCCGUCCGAAGAGCAGACAGCCACAGGGAACAGGAGUCUCCCUACCUGGCCACGGGGCAACACUUGUUUUGUCUCCUCUGGGCCACUGGCAGAUGGAGGCCCCGGCAGUCCUUAAACCAUGCCUGAGGGUGAGUGGUUGGGAGCCAGCUCUGUCCACACUGAGCAACUGAUUGUCACCAACUUGUGCUGAGACCCGUUUCUCUAAGCCUGUGGAGGGGAAAGAUGCCUGGUGUGUGACGGUCAUCAAGUUCCCAGCCUGUGGCCUAAGGGGCUCUGUGGGUCCUGAAGCAACUGGAAGGAGUCCUGGAAGCCAAAUUCCCACCAAAUACCUUCUAAAGCAAUCCAUCCAAUAUGGUAUCCAUUAGCCACAUGUGGCUAUUGAGCAUUUGACAUGAGGCCAUUGUGAUAUGCUGAAGUAUAAAAUAUACAAUAGAUUUUGAAGAUUUUGUAUGAAAAAAAGAAUGUAAACUAUCUUAUUAAUACGUUUUUAGUAUCAAUCAUAUGUGAACUGAUAAUACUCUGGUACUAUUGGGUUAAAUGUGAUAUAUUAUUAAAAUUAUUGCCACUU